UACGUGGGGUGCAAGCGUUGUUCGGAAUUACUGGGCGUAAAGCGUGCGCAGGCGGUCUUGCAAGACAGAUGUGAAAUCCCCGGGCUUAACCUGGGAACUGCAUUUGUGACUGCAAGGCUGGAGUGCGGCAGAGGGGGAUGGAAUUCCGCGUGUAGCAGUGAAAUGCGUAGAUAUGCGGAGGAACACCGAUGGCGAAGGCAAUCCCCUGGGCCUGCACUGACGCUCAUGCACGAAAGCGUGGGGAGCAAACAGG
rnacentral:rRNA from 1 species